rnacentral:rRNA from 1 species
AGACCCGAAACCCGGUGAUCUAGCCAUGGGCAGGUUGAAGGUUGGGUAACACUAACUGGAGGACCGAACCGACUAAUGUUGAAAAAUUAGCGGAUGACCUGUGGCUGGGGGUGAAAGGCCAAUCAAACCGGGAGAUAGCUGGUUCUCCCCGAAAGCUAUUUAGGUAGCGCCUCGUGAAUUCAUCUCCGGGGGUAGAGCACUGUUUCGGCUAGGGGGCCAUCCCGGCUUACCAACCCGAUGCAAACUGCGAAUACCGGAGAAUGUUAUCACGGGAGACACACGGCGGGUGCUAACGUCCGUCGUGAAGAGGGAAACAACCCAGACCGCCAGCUAAGGUCCCAAAGUCAUGGUUAAGUGGGAAACGAUGUGGGAAGGCCCAGACAGCCAGGAUGUUGGCUUAGAAGCAGCCAUCAUUUAAAGAAAGCGUAAUAGCUCACUGGUCGAGUCGGCCUGCGCGGAAGAUGUAACGGGGCUAAACCAUGCACCGAAGCUGCGGCAGCGACGCUUAUGCGUUGUUGGGUAGGGGAGCGUUCUGUAAGCCUGUGAAGGUGGCCUGUGAGGGUUGCUGGAGGUAUCAGAAGUGCGAAUGCUGACAUAAGUAACGAUAAAGCGGGUGAAAAGCCCGCUCGCCGGAAGACCAAGGGUUCCUGUCCAACGUUAAUCGGGGCAGGGUGAGUCGACCCCUAAGGCGAGGCCGAAAGGCGUAGUCGAUGGGAAACGGGUUAAUAUUCCCGUACUUGGUGUUACUGCGAAGGGGGGACGGAGAAGGCUAUGUUGGCCGGGCGACGGUUGUCCCGGUUUAAGCGUGUAGGUGUGUGUUCCAGGUAAAUCCGGUUCACUUUAACACUGAGGCGUGACGACGAGGCACUACGGUGCUGAAGCAACAAAUGCCCUGCUUCCAGGAAAAGCCUCUAAGCAUCAGGUAACAUCAAAUCGUACCCCAAACCGACACAGGUGGUCAGGUAGAGAAUACCAAGGCGCUUGAGAGAACUCGGGUGAAGGAACUAGGCAAAAUGGUGCCGUAACUUCGGGAGAAGGCACGCUGACACGUAGGUGAAGUGAUUUACUCAUGGAGCUGAAGUCAGUCGAAGAUACCAGCUGGCUGCAACUGUUUAUUAAAAACACAGCACUGUGCAAACACGAAAGUGGACGUAUACGGUGUGACGCCUGCCCGGUGCCGGAAGGUUAAUUGAUGGGGUCAGCGCAAGCGAAGCUCCUGAUCGAAGCCCCGGUAAACGGCGGCCGUAACUAUAACGGUCCUAAGGUAGCGAAAUUCCUUGUCGGGUAAGUUCCGACCUGCACGAAUGGCGUAAUGAUGGCCAGGCUGUCUCCACCCGAGACUCAGUGAAAUUGAACUCGCUGUGAAGAUGCAGUGUACCCGCGGCAAGACGGAAAGACCCCGUGAACCUUUACUAUAGCUUGACACUGAACAUUGAGCCUUGAUGUGUAGGAUAGGUGGGAGGCUUU